UACGUAGGGGGCGAGCGUUGUCCGGAUUUAUUGGGCGUAAAGAGCGUGUAGGCGGCCAGGUAGGUCUGCUGUGAAAACUCGAGGCUCAACCUCGAGACGUCGGCGGAAACCAUCUGGCUAGAGUCCGGAAGAGGAGAGUGGAAUUCCUGGUGUAGCGGUGAAAUGCGCAGAUAUCAGGAAGAACACCCGUGGCGAAGGCGGCUCUCUAGGACGGUACUGACGCUGAGACGCGAAAGCGUGGGGAGCGAACAGG
rnacentral:rRNA from 1 species